rnacentral:rRNA from 1 species
GACGAACGCUGGCGGCGUGCUUAACACAUGCAAGUCGAACGGAAAGGCCCCUUUGGGGUUACUCGAGUGGCGGACGGGUGAGUAACACGUAAGUAACCAGCCCUCGCCUUCGUUUUAACUUCAGUAAACUAGGGCUAAUACCGGAUAGGAAUCAUUGCUGCAUGGUGGGGGUUGGAAAGCUUCGGGGGGCUUGGAUGGACGCGCGGCCUAUCAGCUUGUUGGUUGGGUGGUGGCUUACCAAGGCUUUGACGGGUAGCCGGCCUGCGGGGGCGACCGGCCGCAUUGGGACUGAGGUAAGGCCCAGACGGCGACGGGGGGCAGCAGUGGGGAAGAUUGCACCAGGGGCGGAAGGCGGAUGCAGAAACGCCGCGGGCGGGAAGGCGGGCUUCGGGGUGGAAAACGGCUUCAGCAGGGGAGAAGGUUGUGGUGACGGUACCUGCAGAAGAAGCACCGGCUAACUACGUG